rnacentral:rRNA from 1 species
AGAAUCAACGCUGGCGGCGUGCCUAACACAUGCAAGUCGCACGAGAAAGGGACUUCGGUCCUGAGUACAGUGGCGCACGGGUGAGUAACACGUGAAUCAUCUACCUCCGAGUGGGGAAUAACUGAGAGAAAUCUUAGCUAAUACCGCAUAACACUUACGAGUCAAAGCAGCAAUGCGCUUGGAGAGGAGUUCGCGGCAGAUUAGUUAGUUGGCGGGGUAAUGGCCACCAAGACGAUGAUCUGUAUCCGGCCUGAGAGGGCGCACGGACACACUGGAACUGAAACACGGUCCAGACUCCUACGGGAGGCAGCAGUGGGGAAUUUUGCGCAAUGGGGGAAACCCUGACGCAGCAACGCCGCGUGGAGGAUGAAAUCCCUUGGGAUGUAAACUCCUUUCGAUAGGGAAGAUAAUGACGGUACCUAUAGAAGAAGCCCGGCUAACUUCGUGCCAGCAACCGC